GAUGAACGCUAGCUACAGGCUUAACACAUGCAAGUCGAGGGGAAACGGCAUCGAAAGCUUGCUUUUGAUGGGCGUCGACCGGCGCACGGGUGAGUAACGCGUAUCCAACCUGCCCAUCACUUGGGAAUAACCUUGCGAAAGUAAGACUAAUGCCCAAUGACAUCCCACGAAGGCAUCCGAAUGGGAUUAAAGAUUUAUCGGUGAUGGAUGGGGAUGCGUCUGAUUAGCUUGUUGGCGGGGUGACGGCCCACCAAGGCAACGAUCAGUAGGGGUUCUGAGAGGAAGGUCCCCCACAUUGGAACUGAGACACGGUCCAAACUCCUACGGGAGGCAGCAGUGAGGAAUAUUGGUCAAUGGGCGAGAGCCUGAACCGGCCAAGUAGCGUGCAGGAUGACGGCCCUAUGGGUUGUAAACUGCUUUUAUAAGGGAAUAAAGUGGGUCACGUGUGACUUUUUGCAUGUACCUUAUGAAUAAGGACCGGCUAAUUCCGUG
rnacentral:rRNA from 1 species